rnacentral:rRNA from 1 species
UACGUAGGGAGCAAGCGUUGUCCGGAAUCAUUGGGCGUAAAGCGCGCGUAGGUGGCCCUGUAAGUCCGUUGUGAAAGUCAAAGGCUCAACCUUUGAAAGCCGAUGGAUACUGCAGGACUAGAGUACGGAAGAGGCGAGUGGAAUUCCUGGUGUAGCGGUGGAAUGCGCAGAUAUCAGGAGGAACACCAAUAGCGAAGGCAGCCCGCUGGGACGUUACUGACACUGAGGCGCGAAAGCGUGGGGAGCGAACAGG